rfam:Metallosphaera sedula DSM 5348, complete genome.
GCGGGGGUGCCCGAGCUAGGCCAAAGGGGGUAGGCUUAGGCCCUACUGGAGUAGUCCUGCGCGGGUUCAAAUCCCGCCCCCCGCA